CAGUGUGUGUGAAGCCUGUCUACAGCAGGAGUGUCCAGUCUGCAGGAGAAACAGCCUGUGUGUGUUUGGUGUGUUAAGAUUCUUAGAAGCAGAGGAACCACAACUUCACUCCCAUAGCUGAAACACAAGACUGGGAAGGCAAAAUGGCAGCCGCAGUCAUGGACAAAGAUUUUAAACUGGUCACCCCUGAUCAUGUUGUGAAGGCUUCUCUUGGUGGUGAUGUCACUCUGCCCUGUCACCUCUCUCCUAAAACCAGUGCUGUUGCCAUGGAGAUCAGGUGGUUUAAUGGGACACACUGUAUCUACCUGUAUAAGAAUGGUCAUGUGACAGAGGGGAGGGGCUAUGAGGGCAGAGUGAGUGUGAACACCCAGGAGCUGCAGAGAGGAGACGUGUCUCUGACACUGAGAGAGAGAAGAGAGGGAGAUAGAGGAGUGUACAC